GACGAACGCUGGCGGCGUGCCUAAUACAUGCAAGUCGAGCGAGCUUGCCUAGAUGAAUUUGGUGCUUGCACCAAAUGAAACUAGAUACAAGCGAGCGGCGGACGGGUGAGUAACACGUGGGUAACCUGCCCAAGAGACUGGGAUAACACCUGGAAACAGAUGCUAAUACCGGAUAACAACACUAGACGCAUGUCUAGAGUUUAAAAGAUGGUUCUGCUAUCACUCUUGGAUGGACCUGCGGUGCAUUAGCUAGUUGGUAAGGUAACGGCUUACCAAGGCAAUGAUGCAUAGCCGAGUUGAGAGACUGAUCGGCCACAUUGGGACUGAGACACGGCCCAAACUCCUACGGGAGGCAGCAGUAGGGAAUCUUCCACAAUGGACGCAAGUCUGAUGGAGCAACGCCGCGUGAGUGAAGAAGGGUUUCGGCUCGUAAAGCUCUGUUGGUAGUGAAGAAAGAUAGAGGUAGUAACUGACCUUUAUUUGACGGUAAUUACUUAGAAAGUCACGGCUAACUACGUGCCAGCAGCCGCGGUAAUACGUAGGUGGCAAGCGUUGUCCGGAUUUAUUGGGCGUAAAGCGAGUGCAGGCGGUUCAAUAAGUCUGAUGUGAAAGCCUUCGGCUCAACCGGAGAAUUGCAUCAGAAACUGUUGAACUUGAGUGCAGAAGAGGAGGGUGGAACUCCAUGUGUAGCGGUGGAAUGCGUAGAUAUAUGGAGGAACACCAGUGGCGAAGGCGGCUCUCUGGUCUGCAACUGACGCUGAGGCUCGAAAGCAUGGGUAGCGAACAGG
rnacentral:rRNA from 1 species